UACGUAGGUGGCAAGCGUUGUCCGGAUUUACUGGGCGUAAAGGAUGCGUAGGCGGACUUUUAAGUGGGAUGUGAAAUUCCGAGGCUCAACCUCGGCGCUGCAUUCCAAACUGGAAGUCUAGAGUGCGGGAGAGGAAAGUGGAAUUCCUAGUGUAGCGGUGAAAUGCGUAGAGAUUAGGAAGAACACCAGUGGCGAAGGCGACUUUCUGGACCGUAACUGACGCUGAUGCAUGAAAGCGUGGGUAGCAAACAGG
rnacentral:rRNA from 1 species